GCCUAGUUAGCUUAGUUGGUAGUGCGUCUGUCUUGUAAGCGCUAGGCCGCGGGUUCGAUUCCCGCCCGGGGCG
rfam:Asian citrus Psyllid, Diaphorina citri - Florida Strain, whole genome shotgun sequence.